CCUACGGGCGGCAGCAGUGGGGAAUAUUGGACAAUGGGGGCAACCCUGAUCCAGCCAUGCCGCGUGUGUGAAGAAGGCCCUCGGGUUGUAAAGCACUUUCAGUGAGGAAGAACGCCUGGUGGUUAAUACCCAUCAGGAAAGACAUCACUCACAGAAGAAGCACCGGCUAACUCCGUGCCAGCAGCCGCGGUAAUACGGAGGGUGCGAGCGUUAAUCGGAAUUACUGGGCGUAAAGCGCGCGUAGGUGGCUUGAUAAGCCGGUUGUGAAAGCCCCGGGCUCAACCUGGGAACGACAUCCGGAACUGUCAAGCUAGAGUGCAGGAGAGGAAGGUAGAAUUCCCGGUGUAGCGGUGAAAUGCGUAGAGAUCGGGAGGAAUACCAGUGGCGAAGGCGGCCUUCUGGACUGACACUGACACUGAGGUGCGAAAGCGUGGGUAGCAAACAGGAUUAGAUACCCCAGUAGUC
rnacentral:rRNA from 1 species